rnacentral:rRNA from 1 species
UACGUAGGGUGCAAGCGUUGUCCGGAAUUAUUGGGCGUAAAGAGCUCGUAGGCGGUUUGUCGCGUCGAAUGUGAAAUCCCGGGGCUCAACCCCGGGUCUGCAUUCGAUACGGGCAGACUAGAGUUCGGUAGGGGAGUCUGGAAUUCCAGGUGUAGCGGUGAAAUGCGCAGAUAUCAGGAGGAACACCGGUGGCGAAGGCGGGACUCUGGGCCGAUACUGACGCUGAGGAGCGAAAGCGUGGGGAGCAAACAGG